rnacentral:lncRNA from 1 species
CUACACAGGAAAAUACUGUUUCAAAAAUCCAAAAAAAAAAAUUGUAAAAGUAAUAAAAGAAAAUAAAAAGAUAAAAAGAAGGCAGGAGAGAGAAGAAGGAGGAGGAAGAAGUGGAAUGAGAGAAAAGAGAGCGAGCUCUGAAGGAUAAAAAGAAUGGAACAUGUAUUGAAUCAAGAAGAAGAGGUUGGCAAAUACAGAAGUGGAUGCUCACAGUCAUCUAUUGAAUGGAUCACAGGGCCCCCAAUGGAGGAGCUAGAGAAAGUACCCAAGGAGCUGAAGGAGUCUUAUAGGAGGAACAACAAUAUGAACUAACCAGUACCCCCAGAGCUCGUGUCUCUAGCUGCAAAUGUAGCAGAAGAUGGCCUAGUCAGCCAUCAUUGGGAGGAGAGUCCCUUGGUCUUGCAAAGAUUCUAUACCCCAGUAUAGGGGAAUGCCAGGACCAGGAAGCAGGAGUGGAUGAGUUGGGGAGCAGGGCAGGGGGGGAGUAUAGGGGCUUUCGGG